UACGGAGGGUGCAAGCGUUGUUCGGAAUUAUUGGGCGUAAAGGGCGUGUAGGCGGGUAUGCAGGUCAGGUGUGAAAUCCCUCGGCUCAACCGAGGAAGUGCAUCUGAAACCGCGUAUCUUGAGUACGAGAGAGGCAGAUGGAAUUCCCAGUGUAGAGGUGAAAUUCAUAGAUAUUGGGAAGAACACCGGUGGCGAAAGCGGUCUGCUGGCUCGAUACUGACGCUGAGACGCGAAAGCGUGGGGAGCAAACAGG
rnacentral:rRNA from 1 species